rnacentral:lncRNA from 1 species
GGGAAAGUAGGGCGAAGAUGCAAAAAUGAACACAGUAUGCCCUCAACUCUUAAAGGGCUUAGGGAUGACUGGUGUGUUAGAGCUGGGAUACAAAGAACUGGAAAGUGUUCCUUGCCUUCACAGCAGCCGCCCCACCCCCUUGAAAGAGAGGAUCAGUCAACAAUGGGGCCAUACCAAGAGAUGCAUAGUGCCUGAUGCCAAUCAAUUAACUGCCAGGCCCAAGAAAAAUG